CAGGGGGUGUUUCUAAGAGAAAAAUAUAAACCCCCAAAGCAUGUACAGACGACGGCAAGGCUUUAUUUCCUUGGCUUUUCUAGUGGAAUUGUGGCGAGGCUCUCCUUCCAGCCCUCAGUCCCUGGAAGCAAGAAAGACGCCGGGGGAGAGGGAGACUAGGGUUCGAGAGGGGCACCAGGCCAGUUGGCUGGAGGAGCGCUCUGCUAAAAGAGUGAUUUUCUCUUGUCACCCGCCCGGUCAAUUUGCAGUACCUACUACGUUCUAUUGGCAGUCCUCCGUACCUUAGGGAUGGCCACUUAUAAUAGUCGAAUGUAAUAAUGACCAGUAUCGCUGUAGGGAAAGAAAAGAUGUCAGCCACCACUGACCCGAGCGAUGUCCGCAGCGGGCUCCGGGGAGGUCGCUCGCGGGUAACUUACUGCAGCCCGGGGAAAAGCAGCCGACAGUUAGCCGGCCGGGCGGAUUUUAAAUUCGAAUUCUUGGUACAGGCGCGUAAAGGGGAAGCAGUUGUAGUUGCUCUUGGCGCUAUGUUCCAGUAAAUUUGACUGGCACAGCUAGCACCCAUUUUUCUUCGAUCGGUCACCCCCAAAUCUUCGAGUUAUGUGGCUUGUCUUCACGCAAGAACUUGGAUACUUAGAGAGGACACUACUACAAACUCCUCGCCUCUUCCUUUCUCGCGCCACCACUCCUCCUAAGAGCUGGUAGCGAAUAGACCUGGUAGAAUUUUUUAAAACCUUACUGUUUGAUAGUUAGACAUUCUUGAAUAAUAAGCCGUCUUUUAUUUAAGUGGAGGCAAGAGUUCUGAAGCAUACUACGGAAUUUCUCAGCAAAAUAAGGUUUGCCUCAGCCUCCAAAAACCCAGAAGUGGUGUGACACAAGAAGAAGGAUCCAAAUAAGUGAAUUGCACAGGCCACUUCAUCCUACUUCUAACCUCUUCUUCGAAUCACUGGAGCUCCGUUUAUUCUCAAAUGAAAAGAUGAAACCAUUUCUUUCCCCUUCUUCCCUCUGGUCCACACAGUGCCUUUAUUUGAAACCACUGAAAAAUGAUAAAACCUUAAAACUCCUCUGCUGGGGCACGGAACAACCACAGCCCUUAUUUAGAGCUGAAAAAAAUCUCAUCUUCCAAUCAAGUUUUUGUGACGGCUCAUAAGAGGAUGAUCUCCCUUUCACCAGGAACUACCUCCAGGAUAAGAAGUCCUCAUCCAGGAUGCUACCCUUCACUCCGUAGUAACUGCUUCAUUUGUCUAAAGAAAAGGUCUGUCUGAUGGAGAAAACUUGAUGAAACUCAACGACCCUUUCCCCUACGCCAUACCUAUUCUUUCAACCCCAGAAAAUGUGGGGGGGGGGGCCUGAAAUACCCUUAACAAACUAGCAAACUUCUUAUCCAUAGCAAACUAAUAAAUAAAAUGUGUUGAGGAGCUUGCAGAGA